CGCCGGUCCCCUCGCGACGACAAGUUGUGAACCCCGUCAGGCCCGGAAGGGAGCAGCGGCAGCAGCGGACUCGGGCGCCGGGGUGUGGCUGGUAGGG
rnacentral:SRP_RNA from 1 species